rnacentral:rRNA from 1 species
UACGUAGGGUGCAAGCGUUAAUCGGAAUUACUGGGCGUAAAGCGUGCGCAGGCGGUUGUGCAAGACAGAUGUGAAAUCCCCGGGCUCAACCUGGGAACUGCAUUUGUGACUGCACGGCUGGAGUGCGGCAGAGGGGGAUGGAAUUCCGCGUGUAGCAGUGAAAUGCGUAGAUAUGCGGAGGAACACCGAUGGCGAAGGCAAUCCCCUGGGCCUGCACUGACGCUGAGGCGCGAAAGCGUGGGGAGCGAUCCGG